UCCGUAGGCGGGCAAUUAAGUCAGAGGUGAAAUCCCACAGCUCAACUGUGGAACUGCCUUUGAUACUGGUUGUCUUGAGUUACAGUGAAGUAGAUAGAAUAUGUAGUGUAGCGGUGAAAUGCAUAGAUAUUACAUAGAAUACCGAUUGCGAAGGCAGUCUACUAACUGUAUACCGACGCUAAUGGACGAAAGCGUGGGGAGCGAACAGGAUUAGAUACCCUGGUAGUCC
rnacentral:rRNA from 1 species